CCAAAUCCUCAUGAUGGACUUUUCUAAUGUAAUCCCAGGAAAAUGGAAUGUUAGGGAGAUACCAUUAUAGUAGCUAAUGGGAGAACUUGAAAUCUGAAAACUUACUCCUUAGACACAUAUGUCAUCAGAGAAAUGGGAUUUAAACGGUUCUAAAAUAUACCAUAUCUUACCAAAAGGAAAGGUGAAGAAAAAAAAAGAUACCAGCCUACAACUCAUUAAUAAGUACUAGACUCUCAAAUAUAGCUAAACAAAAACUAUUACCACAAACUGAACUAAGACAAUAUAAACAGUUCCUAAAAUAUCAUUUGCCAAAGUUUGGAUGGCUUCUCAAAAAGCAAACUAUAAAAUCUUAAGUUUUGAGAGCUCACUUUUUAAAUAGGGAAGUCUUUAAGGAGCAUUUUAAGGUUAGAUAUCCUUUUGUGGUAAGUUAACUCAGAUGCACUGACUUCUGCCAAAUUUUUAUUGCAGCACAAGCUCUACAUUUUCUGAAGUCACUAAAUUUCUCAUUACAGCACAGGAAAAAGAAGAUAAAGUAGGAGAAGUAUCAGUUUCAAAUUCAGCCCUAAGCAGCAACAUUUUUGAGAUGCAAUCAUAAAACCAAAUAUUUCACCCGGGACAAGGAAAAAGCAGUGGAUCAUCAGAAAACAGAGUAAAAAGCUGCAAGAAGAUGUGAAAAAAAAAAAGAAAAGCAGUGAGAAGAUGCCAAGCUUGGAACAAGGUCUUAUUGACACAUACUAUGCUAAUCUCACUUCUUUAGGCU
rnacentral:lncRNA from 1 species